rnacentral:rRNA from 1 species
GACGAACGCUGGCGGCGUGCUUAACACAUGCAAGUCGAACGAAGUGGCGAACGGGUGAGUAACGCGUAAUCAACCUGCCCUUCAGAGGGGGACAACAGUUGGAAACGACUGCUAAUACCGCAUACUGAAGGAGGGGAUUGCGUCUGAUUAGCUAGUUGGAGGGGUAACGCCCCACCAAGGCGAUGAUCAGUAGCCGGUCUGAGGGGAUGACCGCCCCCUUGGGAACUGCGCCACGGCCCAGACUCCUACGGGAGGCCGCAGUGGGGAUUUUUCCGCAAUGGACGAAAGUCUGACGGAGCAACGCCGCGUGAGUGAUGACGGCCUCGGGUUGUAAAGCUCUGUUAAUCGGGACGCGGUACCGGAAUAGAAAGCCACGGCUAACUACGUGCCAGCAGCCGCGGUAAUUC